rnacentral:rRNA from 1 species
CGGGGGGAAGAUCAACAGGGAUUGCCCCAGUAACGGCGAGUGAAGCGGCAACAGCUCAAAUUUGAAAUCUGGCCCUCGGGUCCGAGUUGUAAUUUGCAGAGGAUGCUUCGGGCGAGGUGCCUUCCGAGUUCCCUGGAACGGGACGCCAUAGAGGGUGAGAGCCCCGUCUGGUCGGACACCGAGCCCGUGUGAAGCUCCUUCGAAGAGUCGAGUAGUUUGGGAAUGCUGCUCAAAAUGGGAGGUAUAUGUCUUCUAAAGCUAAAUAUUGGCCAGAGACCGAUAGCGCACAAGUAGAGUGAUCGAAAGAUGAAAAGCACUUUGAAAAGAGGGUUAAAAAGUACGUGAAAUUGUUGAAAGGGAAGCGCCCAUGACCAGACUUGGGCCCGGUGAAUCAUCCGGCGUUCUCGCCGGUGCACUUUGCCGGGCACAGGCCAGCAUCAGUCUGGCGCGGGGGAUAAAGGCUUCGGGAAUGUGGCUCCCUCGGGAGUGUUAUAGCCCGUUGCGCAAUACCCUGCGCUGGACUGAGGUACGCGCAUCGCAAGGAUGCUGGCGUAAUGGUCAUCAGCGACCCGUCUUGAAACACGGACCAAGGAGUCGUCUUCGUAUGCGAGUGUUCGGGUGUCAAACCCCUACGCGGAAUGAAAGUGAACGCAGGUGAGAGCUUCGGCGCAUCAUCGACCGAUCCUGAUGUUCUCGGAUGGAUUUGAGUAAGAGCAUACGGGGCCGGACCCGAAAGAAGGUGAACUAUGCCUGUAUAGGGUGAAGCCAGAGGAAACUCUGGUGGAAGCUCGCAGCGGUUCUGACGUGCGAAUCGAUCGUCAAAUAUGGGCAUGGGGGCGAAAGACUAAUCGAACCUUCUAGUAGCUGGUUUCCGCGGU